UACGUAGGGCGCAAGCGUUGUCCGGAAUUAUUGGGCGUAAAGAGCUCGUAGGCGGCUUGUUGCGUCGGUUGUGAAAGCCCGGGGCUUAACCCCGGGUCUGCAGUCGAUACGGGCAGGCUAGAGUGUGGUAGGGGAGACUGGAAUUCCUGGUGUAGCGGUGAAAUGCGCAGAUAUCAGGAGGAACACCGGUGGCGAAGGCGGUUCUCUGGCUCGUACUGACGCUGAGGAACGAAAGCGUGGGGAGCAAACACGG
rnacentral:rRNA from 1 species